rnacentral:rRNA from 1 species
GAUGAACGCUGGCGGCGUGCCUAAUACAUGCAAGUCGAGCGAACAGACGAGGAGCUUGCUCCUCUGACGUUAGCGGCGGACGGGUGAGUAACACGUGGAUAACCUACCUAUAAGACUGGGAUAACUUCGGGAAACCGGAGCUAAUACCGGAUAAUAUAUUGAACCGCAUGGUUCAAUAGUGAAAGACGGUUUUGCUGUCACUUAUAGAUGGAUCCGCGCCGCAUUAGCUAGUUGGUAAGGUAACGGCUUACCAAGGCAACAAUGCGUAGCCGACCUGGAGGGGGGGCCGGCCAAACAGGAAAUGGCGCCCGGGCCAGACUGCCAAGGGGGGCAGCAGUAAGGAACUUUCCGCAAUGGGCGGAAGACUUGCGGAGGAACGCCGCGGGGAGGAAGAAGGUCCUCGGAUCGGAAAAAUAUUUUAAUAAGGAAAAAAAAAUUUGGAAGUAACCAGGGACCUUUUUACCGUACCCAAUCAAAAAGCCCAGGCAAAACACC